CUCUUAUCAAGAGAAGCAGAGGGAAAUGGCCCUGUGAAGCUUCAGCAACCUCUGACACAUGUCAGAAAGGUGCUAACUCCUACAAGAUAUCAAUCUUGAAAGAUAAGAA
rnacentral:ncRNA from 2 species